GCAAGUAGAACGUAUACAAAAAAAAAAAAUUGAAUUGAAUUGUCAUUACUAUUGUCUGUAUAUAUGACAAAAACAAAAACAAGGACAGCAACACAAAUACAAUUUGUUGUUUUGCUAUUUUGCACUUG
rnacentral:ribozyme from 1 species